rnacentral:rRNA from 1 species
CGUAGGGUGCGAGCGUUAAUCGGAAUCACUGGGCGUAAAGGGCGCGUAGGUGGUGGCUUAAGCGUGCGGUGAAAGCUCGGGGCUCAACUCCGAGUCGGCCGUGCGAACUGGGCUCACUGGAGCAUAGUAGAGGCAGGUGGAAUUCCGGGUGUAGCGGCGGAAUGCGUAGAGAUCCGGAAGAACACCGGUGGCGAAGGCGGCCUGCUGGGCUAUGGCUGACACUGAGGCGCGACAGCGUGGGGAGCGAACAGGAUUAGAUACCCUGGUAGUCCACGCCGUAAACGAUGGGCACUAGGUGCUUGGGGGAGCGACCCCCUGGGUGCCGGCGCUAACGCAUGAAGUGCCCCGCCUGGGGAGUACGGCCGCAAGGCUG